GAACGCGAAGAACCUUACCCAGGCUAGAAAAGUAGAGAACCCUGUAGAAAUACGGGGGUGCCCUUCGGGGAGCUCUAAUCCAGGUGCUGCAUGGCUGUCGUCAGCUCGCGUCGUGAGAUGUUGGGUUAAGUCCCGCAACGAGCGCAACCCUUGUCAUUAGUUGCUAACGGUUCGGCCGAGCACUCUAAUGAGACUGCCGGGGUUAACCCGGAGGAAGGUGGGGAUGACGUCAAGUCCUCAUGGCCCUUAUGUCUGGGGCUACACACGUGCUACAAUGGUCGGUACAAAGCGCAGCGAGCCCGCGAGGGGGAGCGAAUCGCAGAAAGCCGGCCUCAGUACGGAUUGCAGUCUGCAACUCGACUGCAUGAAGGCGGAAUCGCUAGUAAUCGUCGAUCAGCAGGCGACGGUGAAUACGUUCCC
rnacentral:rRNA from 1 species